rnacentral:rRNA from 1 species
ACGAACGCUGGCGGCAGGCUUAACACAUGCAAGUCGAACGCACCUUUCGGGGUGAGUGGCAGACGGGUGAGUAACGCGUGGGAAUCUACCCUUCUCUACGGGAUAGCUCCGGGAAACUGGAAUUAAUACCGUAUACGUCCUGAGGGAGAAAGAUUUAUCGGGGAAGGAUGAGCCCGCGUUGGAUUAGCUAGUUGGUGGGGUAAAGGCCUACCAAGGCGACGAUCCAUAGCUGGUCUAAGAGGAUGAUCAGCCACAUUGGGACUGAGACACGGCCCAAACUCCUACGGGAGGCAGCAGUGGGGAAUAUUGGACAAUGGGCGCAAGCCUGAUCCAGCCAUGCCGCGUGAGUGAUGAAGGCCCUAGGGUUAUAAAGCUCUUUCAGUGGGGACGAUAAUGACGGUACCCACAGAAGAAGCCCCGGCUAACUUCGUG